rnacentral:rRNA from 1 species
UGGGGAAUUUUGGACAAUGGGGGAAACCCUGAUCCAGCCAUCCCGCGUGUGCGAUGAAGGCCUUCGGGUUGUAAAGCACUUUUGGCAGGAAAGAAACGUCAUGGGUUAAUACCCCGUGAAACUGACGGUACCUGCAGAAUAAGCACCGGCUAACUACGUGCCAGCAGCCGCGGUAAUACGUAGGGUGCAAGCGUUAAUCGGAAUUACUGGGCGUAAAGCGUGCGCAGGCGGUUCGGAAAGAAAGAUGUGAAAUCCCAGAGCUCAACUUUGGAACUGCAUUUUUAACUACCGGGCUAGAGUGUGUCAGAGGGAGGUGGAAUUCCGCGUGUAGCAGUGAAAUGCGUAGAUAUGCGGAGGAACAACGAUGGCGAAGGCAGCCUCCUGGGAUAACACUGACGCUAAUGCACGAAAGCGUGGGGAGCAAACAGG